rnacentral:lncRNA from 1 species
CUCAGAGAUAAAAUUAAAUUACAUGAGCACUAAAUUACAUGAUGCAUAAUGCUAGGAAAGGGGUUAGGAAGCUCACACAAUGGUCCAUCUAAGGUCACACAGCACUGUGCUUGACUUCCACAUGGCUUAUUGUAUUUAUCUUCACAGGUAAUGAGAGGAAGAGGAAAGAAACUAUGUGUAAUAGUUGAAGGGUGUACAAUUAAUUCUCCAAAUCAGGCCAUUUUCACAAGGGUCAAGUCACCUCAACAGUCCAGUCCAGGAGAAGAUCCACGAUGGAGAGAUUCUCAGCAGUUUAGGUAUAGCAGUUCCUCUGGUUCCAUUUGAAAAAUGAAAACACACCA